GUGGUGGCUCGGUGGUAGAGCACUUGCCUUGCAUGUGCAAGGCACUGGGUUCGAUCCUCAGCAGCACA
rnacentral:tRNA from 1 species